CCAGUAUAUGAUCUAUACUAAUAAAAUAAAACACGUGUACUUAGAAAUAAUAUAUACCAUACUUACCAGAUGUAUGCUAUUUAAAUAUCAACUAAAUCCAAGUAACUAUAGUGUUGUUCUGAUCAAAGAAGUGUCUAUUUCUGUGUUCCACUGAUUUUGUGUUUGUGUCUCCACAUACAAUAAUGAUUUUUUCUAUUUCACCUUGCAGUUCUACCAGUUUGAUCUUAUGUGUUUUGACACAUUUUUCUUAGGUGCAUACACAUUGAGGAUUAUCAUGUCUUCUUGGAAGAUUGAUCUGUUUAUGUAAUGCCCCACAUUAUCGCUGAUAAUUUUCCAUGCACUGAAGCCUGCUUUGUUAUUAUAACUACUCCAUAUUUCCUGAAAAUCCAAUGGCAGAAGCUCUGUUGGGCCCAUACAACAAACAAUGGUUUAUGACGAAAGUCUGAGCAGGUGUUUUGACAGCCUUCAGUUUUUCUUCCUGUGAUAUGAGUUCAGUUAAUGAAACUCAGGGAACGGACCAGAGGUAAUUGUUUUCUUCUUUGGAAAUAUGAACUAUAGGCAGAAAAUAGAACUUUGGAGACUAACUUUAUCCUGUGCUUUGGGAGUGAUGGAAGAUGGGUGGUGUGUAGAGGUGUGGAAGGUCAGAGAGACCUUGAAACUUCUGCUUCAGCAUGUCAAAGCAUCAUAUUACUUUGGGGCUAUCAGUUUCUGAGACUCAGCAUUAUAUUGCUGGAUUACAUCUACUAAGUAGUUUAAAAAGUUUACAUCUAUAUUGAUAAGUGAAAUUGGCCUAUAGUUUUAUUUCUGUACUAUAUUAAAUUUUUAGUAUUAAACUUAUUGUGACCACAUACACUAUAGUAGAGAAUUACUCGUCAUUUUCUACCAUCUCAUAAUAUAAUAAACAUUUCAAUAACCUAUCCUUUUAAAGAUUAGAUGGAACUGAUACAUCUUUUAGUAUCAGUUCUAGAUUAGAUAGAAAAGAUACAUCUUUUAGUGGUUCCCUUUUCAAUAGAAAAUUAUAAAUCAACUUUCUAAUCUGUGCUGUGGCAAUUGCUGAAUUUAAGUAUUUUUAAAGUUAACUUUAUUGAUAUUUUUCUAGGAAAUCAUUCUUUUGUUAAAGGUGUCCAAAUUUAUUUUCAUAGAUGUGCAUAUAUCAAAUUCUUAAAAAUGUUAAAUUACUAGUUAUGAUUCUUGCCUUUUCUCAUUUAUAUAAUCAGCUAUUUUAGCUCUUUUUUCCUCAUAAAUAAUUUAUCCAUUUUACUAAACGAUAAAAAAGAGAAAAUUAUUUCCA
rnacentral:lncRNA from 10 species